UACGAAGGGGGCUAGCGUUGUCCGGAUUUACUGGGCGUAAAGAGCGCGCAGGCGGCCGAGUAAGUCGAAUGUGAAAGCCCCCGGCUCAACUGGGGAAGGUCAUUCGAUACUGUUCGGCUUGAAGAUAGGAGAGGGAAGCGGAAUUUCAGGUGUAGUGGUGAAAUGCGUAGAUAUCUGAAGGAACACCAGUGGCGAAGGCGGCUUUCUGGCCUAUUCUUGACGCUGAGGCGCGAAAGCUAGGGGAGCGAACGGG
rnacentral:rRNA from 1 species